AGAAUUCCAGGUGUAGCGGUGAAAUGCGUAGAGAUCUGGAGGAAUACCGGUGGCGAAGGCGGCCCCCUGGACAAAGACUGACGCUCAGGUGCGAAAGCGUGGGGAGCAAACAGGAUUAGAUACCCUGGUAGUCCACGCCGUAAACGAUGUCGAUUUGGAGGUUGUGCCCUUGAGGCGUGGCUUCCGGAGCUAACGCGUUAAAUCGACCGCCUGGGGAGUACGGCCGCAAGGUUAAAACUCAAAUGAAUUGACGGGGGCCCGCACAAGCGGUGGAGCAUGUGGUUUAAUUCGAUGCAACGCGAAGAACCUUACCUGGUCUUGACAUCCACAGAACUUUCCAGAGAUGGAUUGGUGCCUUCGGGAACUGUGAGACAGGUGCUGCAUGGCUGUCGUCAGCUCGUGUUGUGAAAUGUUGGGUUAAGUCCCGCAACGAGCGCAACCCUUAUCCUUUGUUGCCAGCGGUCCGGCCGGGAACUCAAAGGAGACUGCCAGUGAUAAACUGGAGGAAGGUGGGGAUGACGUCAAGUCAUCAUGGCCCUUACGACCAGGGCUACACACGUGCUACAAUGGCAUAUACAAAGAGAAGCGACCUCGCGAGAGCAAGCGGACCUCAUAAAGUAUGUCGUAGUCCGGAUUGGAGUCUGCAACUCGACUCCAUGAAGUCGGAAUCGCUAGUAAUCGUAGAUCAGAAUGCUACGGUGAAUACGUUCCCGGGCCUUGUACACACCGCCCGUCACACCAUGGGAGUGGGUUGCAAAAGAAGUAGGUAGCUUAACCUUCGGGAGGGCGCUUACCACUUUGUGAUUCAUGACUGGGGUGAAGUCGUAACAAGGUAACCGUAGGGGAACCUGCGGUUGGAUCACCUCCUU
rnacentral:rRNA from 1 species